rnacentral:tRNA from 1 species
GGAGAUGUGCCAGAGCGGUUGAAUGGGCCGCACUCGAAAUGCGGUGUACCCUCACGGGUACCGGGGGUUCGAAUCCCUCCAUCUCCG